AAUGGGCGAAAGCCUGACGCAGCAACGCCGUGUGAGGGAUGAAGGCUUUCGGGUCGUAAACCUCUGUCGGAAGGGAAGAACGGGUGAGGGUCUAAUAGGCCUUCAUUUUGACGGUACCUUUAGAGGAAGCACCGGCUAACUCCGUGCCAGCAGCCGCGGUAAUACGGAGGGUGCAAGCGUUAUUCGGAAUUACUGGGCGUAAAGCGCACGUAGGCCGCUUUGUAAGUCAGGGGUGAAAUCCCACGGCUCAACCGUGGAACUGCCCUUGAAACUGCAGAGCUUGAAUCCUGGAGAGGGUGGCGGAAUUCCUGGUGUAGGAGUGAAAUCCGUAGAUAUCAGGAGGAACACCGGUGGCGAAGGCGGCCACCUGGACAGGCAUUGACGCUGAGGUGCGAAAGUGUGGGGAGCAAA
rnacentral:rRNA from 1 species